CACAUUUUGUAACAUAUUCAUACUUCAAUUUGUGUCUGACAGAAAUUUUCGUUUUCAAAAUUUUGCUAUGAGAUCAUCCGAAUUUCUUUUGUACUUAUUGCUAAUGAUGCCUGUUUUAGCCGUAAGACUCGUUUAAAUAUAGCUUUAAUUGGUUACUGUUUCAAUUAUUGUUGGAUAGAAUGGAUGGGGCUAUAGACGACACCGGCAAAGGCAGACAGAACAAAAGCCAACCAUAGUAACUGCUGUAGAUUUUGACGACUUUGAAAGCGAGCAGCUAUUUUGGCACAACUAUUUGCGCAAAGAAUUUGAUGGCCCAGAGCUCAAACUGGAUCGCUCUCUCUCCGACGACUGUACAGCGUAUGCCAAAACGCUUGUCGCUAAUAAAGGCAAAGAUACUUACAAUGAGUCCGCCGACUACGGUCAAAUCGUGCAUAAAAGCAUGUUUCCAGAGCACUGCUCUCUCGAGUGGACCAAACUACGUCGGAAGUAUUUUACAGGACAGCUGAAACCUUAUGAAAAAUCGAUUUUUACUCAAAUGGUUUGGAAAAACAGUUCAACUUUUGGAAUCGGCGCCGCUAAGAGAUCAUCAUUAUUACGUUGUUUUAAGAUAUAAGCCAAGAGGCAAUAUCGCUAAUCAUUAUAACGAAAAUGUGCCGAGGAAAAUGGUUGGUAGGGCAAGCAGCCGAAGUAUAAACCACUUGACAUUUUUUUUAGCGCUGGUAUUAUUACAUUUAUGUGGAAGGGAAGAGCGAGACUAUUAAAAAUACAUGCAUAUGU